GCUGUUAUAAGGUCAUCCCUGGGUGCAUCAAAAAUGUGGACCACUGCCUGCAAGGGAGCGGAAAUUGACUGGAACCCUGUCAUAAGCAAAGUCACAGCAGAGUUGCCCUGCAGCCUCGUCGGCAAAGAGCAGGAAAUUCUGAAAAAAGCCUUAAAAAUGCUCCGAAACAGGAGGGAGGACCUCCGAAGAAGAGAGAAGGACUUCAGCUUCACUCCAACG